rnacentral:rRNA from 1 species
GUAGGUGGCAAGCGUUGUCCGGAAUUAUUGGGCGUAAAGCGCGCGCAGGGCGGUCCUUUAAGUCUGAUGUGAAAGCCCACGGCUCAACCGUGGAGGGUCAUUGGAAACUGGGGGACUUGAGUACAGAAGAGGAAAGCGGAAUUCCAAGUGUAGCGGUGAAAUGCGUAGAGAUUUGGAGGAACACCAGUGGCGAAGGCGGCUUUCUGGUCUGUAGCUGACGCUGAGGCGCGAAAGCGUGGGGAGCAAACAGGAUUAGAUACCCUGGUAGUCCACGCCGUAAACGAUGAGUGCUAAGUGUUAGGGGGUUUCCGCCCCUUAGUGCUGCAGCUAACGCAUUAAGCACUCCGCCUGGGGAGUACGGCCGCAAGGCUG